UAGUUAGCUAGAAUGUUGUUUACUUUGUUUAUAUUUACAAUGGUGUUUACAGGAUCCGUAUUCAGAGAGUGACCUCUACAGCAGCCCUCUCCCAACACAUUCAGCAGCAGGUUUUGGCUCAACCGGAGAGGGAAGGCAUUGAGCUGGACACCCUCAACUCACCGGCUCAAUCAGAAUCCCUCCCCCAAUGGCCAAUUCUGUACUUCUGGCAGCACUACAGAAAUGAAGGCUAUGGCUACCUGGUCAUUCCUUCCACCCCUGGUAAGGGAAGCAUACAAUAAUGUGUCAUACGUGGAGACCACAGGAACAGUGUCAGAACUGAGACGCUUCUUCAUUGGUGGAUCCCCUGAGCUUGAGGACUACAUUUACAUCAGA